rnacentral:rRNA from 1 species
CCAGACUCCUACGGGAGGCAGCAGUGGGGGAUAUUGCACAAUGGGGGAAACCCUGAUGCAGCGACGCCGCGUGGGUGAAGAAGCGCCUCGGCGCGUAAAGCCCUGUCAGCAGGGAAGAAAAUGACGGUACCUGAAGAAGAAGCCCCGGCUAACUACGUGCCAGCAGCCGCGGUAAUACGUAGGGGGCAAGCGUUAUCCGGAUUUACUGGGUGUAAAGGGAGCGUAGACGGUUGUAUAAGUCUGGAGUGAAAGCCCGGGGCCCAACCCCGGGACUGCAUUGGGAACUACCGGGCUGGAGUGCCGGAGAGGUAGGCGGAAUUCCUAGUGUAGCGGUGAAAUGCGUAGAUAUUAGGAGGAACACCAGUGGCGAAGGCGGCCUGCUGGACGAUGACUGACGUUGAGGCUCGAAAGCGUGGGGAGCAAACAGGAUUAGAUACCCCGGUA